ACAGCUAUGGUGAAAUGGUAUCAUGCAUCGUUGCCACUCGUCCGCAGCACUCAAUGAGGAGCUGAGAAUUGCGACUCGAUGCGGUGGGGGUUCGAUUCCCCCUGGCUGUA
rfam:Trichosporon asahii var. asahii CBS 8904 unplaced genomic scaffold scaffold00167, whole genome shotgun sequence.